rnacentral:rRNA from 6 species
ACAUGACUCUCGGCAACGGAUAUCUCGGCUCUCGCAUCGAUGAAGAACGUAGCAAAAUGCGAUACCUGGUGUGAAUUGCAGA